rnacentral:rRNA from 1 species
AAGCGUCUGGAAAGGCGCGCGAUACAGGGUGACAGCCCCGUACACAAAAGCGCAUGUGCUGUGAGCUCGAUGAGUAGGGCGGGACACGUGGUAUCCUGUCUGAAUAUGGGGGGACCAUCCUCCAAGGCUAAAUACUCCUGACUGACCGAUAGUGAACCAGUACCGUGAGGGAAAGGCGAAAAGAACCCCGGCGAGGGGAGUGAAAAAGAACCUGAAACCGUGUACGUACAAGCAGUGGGAGCACCCUUUGGGGUGUGACUGCGUACCUUUUGUAUAAUGGGUCAGCGACUUAUAUUCUGUAGCAAGGUUAACCGUAUAGGGGAGCCGGAGGGAAACCGAGUCUUAACCGGGCGUUAAGUUGCAGGGUAUAGACCCGAAACCCGGUGAUCUAGCCAUGGGCAGGUUGAAGGUUGGGUAACACUAACUGGAGGACCGAACCGACUAAUGUUGAAAAAUUAGCGGAUGACCUGUGGCUGGGGGUGAAAGGCCAAUCAAACCGGGAGAUAGCUGGUUCUCCCCGAAAGCUAUUUAGGUAGCGCCUCGUGAAUUCAUCUCCGGGGGUAGAGCACUGUUUCGGCUAGGGGGCCAUCCCGGCUUACCAACCCGAUGCAAACUGCGAAUACCGGAGAAUGUUAUCACGGGAGACACACGGCGGGUGCUAACGUCCGUCGUGAAGAGGGAAACAACCCAGACCGCCAGCUAAGGUCCCAAAGUCAUGGUUAAGUGGGAAACGAUGUGGGAAGGCCCAGACAGCCAGGAUGUUGGCUUAGAAGCAGCCAUCAUUUAAAGAAAGCGUAAUAGCUCACUGGUCGAGUCGGCCUGCGCGGAAGAUGUAACGGGGCUAAACCAUGCACCGAAGCUGCGGCAGCGACGCUGAUGCGUUGUUGGGUAGGGGAGCGUUCUGUAAGCCUGCGAAGGUGGCCUGUGAGGGUUGCUGGAGGUAUCAGAAGUGCGAAUGCUGACAUAAGUAACGAUAAAGCGGGUGAAAAGCCCGCUCGCCGGAAGACCAAGGGUUCCUGUCCAACGUUAAUCGGGGCAGGGUGAGUCGACCCCUAAGGCGAGGCCGAAAGGCGUAGUCGAUGGGAAACGGGUUAAUAUUCCCGUACUUGGUGUUACUGCGAAGGGGGGACGGAGAAGGCUAUGUUGGCCGGGCGACGGUUGUCCCGGUUUAAGCGUGUAGGUGUGUGUUCCAGGUAAAU